rnacentral:rRNA from 1 species
UACGUAGGCAGCAAGCGUUGUUCGGAAUUACUGGGCGUAAAGAGUGUGUAGGCGGUGUUCUAAGUCUGUUGUGAAAUCUCCCGGCUUAACUGGGAGGGUGCGGCGGAAACUGGAAUGCUAGAGGAUGGGAGAGGUAAGCGGAAUUCCUGGUGUAGCGGUGAAAUGCGUAGAUAUCAGGAGGAACACCUGUGGUGUAGGCAGCUUACUGGACCAUUUCUGACGCUGAGACACGAAAGCGUGGGUAGCAAACAGG